rnacentral:tmRNA from 1 species
ACACUUCACAUUAAGCGCGCAGCGCCUAUAUAGGUCGGUGCCGGUUUCGGCCGGCUAUGGUGAUAAACUGCGGUGUAUAAUAGACGCAAUGGACCCGGGGGCAGUACCCGGCGGCUCCACCAAAAGGCCCGGUCCCACUAGCGAGAGGGGGCGGGCUUCCUGAUGGGGCCGAACCAGGAUCGACAUGCGUUGAAAGGCAUCGUUUUUGCCCGGAAUGAGCACUCCGUAAAAAGCUCUUUUCACAAGUGCCAACGAUAACGAAGCACUCGCUCUCGCUGCGUAAUUUGACGGGCUAACGCCCUGAAUUUACAAAGCUAAAGCGCGGUUGGACCGACCGGGCAACAGAACGGAUACC